AAGGCUUGACAUGCACAGGACGCCGGCAGAGAUGUCGGUUCCCUUGUGGCCUGUGUGCAGGUGGUGCAUGGCUGUCGUCAGCUCGUGUCGUGAGAUGUUGGGUUAAGUCCCGCAACGAGCGCAACCCUUGUCUCAUGUUGCCAGCACGUAAUGGUGGGGACUCGUGAGAGACUGCCGGGGUCAACUCGGAGGAAGGUGGGGAUGACGUCGCUUACAGCGUAC
rnacentral:misc_RNA from 1 species